GACCUCAACUGGUAGGUCUUUAUGCAGAAAAACACGAUGCACAAUUAAUGAAUAAUGCUACCAUAAGUUAAGGUAAAUGCUGAAAACAAUGCCGCUGUUGUGCUUUCUAUAAUCAUUCAUCCGAUUACCAGAUGUUUACCGACUUAUCAAGAAAUGACUCAACGCUCAAUCGAGCCUCGUUCACGGAAAGAUCCGCCAUCUACACCAUCAUCUAUAAAUAUUUUACGCAAUAAAUCGUUGUUUGACGAAACGUUGUACCAGCAGGACGGAAUUUACGAUCAAGCCAAGAGCACGAGUGAACUUCGAGAAGUCAAGCACGGCAAGCAUAUUAAAUUGAUGCAUAUCUCAUACCUUUGGAACAUAUAUGUGAUUAUGCAGUAUAAUAAAAAUAUGCGAACAUAUGAAGUAUAGAAUUAGAUCGUACUAUGGAAAAUCCGUUUUGUUAUAAUGAAAUACCGUUUUGUAUGAUAGC